rnacentral:ncRNA from 1 species
AUUUCAGGGGUGCCUUAAUAUGACGGGCUGAGAACAUACCCUUAUUACCUGAACCGGGUAAUGCCGGCGUAGAGAAAUUUGA